rnacentral:rRNA from 1 species
GACGAACCGUGCGAACGUUGUUCGGAAUCACUGGGCUUAAAGGGCGCGUAGGCGGGUGACCAAGUCAGGGGUGAAAUCUUUCGGCUCAACCGGAAAAGUGCCUCUGAUACUGGUCGUCUUGAGGGAGGUAGGGGUCGAGGGAACUGUAGGUGGAGCGGUGAAAUGCGUUGAUAUCUACAGGAACUCCGGUGGCGAAGGCGGGUCUCUGGACAGUUCCUGACGCUGAGGCACGAAGGCCAGGGGAGCAAACGGG